UAUUAAAACAUUGCCUUUAUGGUCAUUACAGGGUCAGAGGAGACCAUGGAGUCGAGAACGUGGAUAUUGCACGUUUAAUGUUCACAGUUCGUGGCACAGGGAGAAGCAGUUUCAUUUCUGGAAAAAGUGUCCACAAUCAAAGAAUAGAGCGACUUUGGAGAGAUGUGUGGACUGCAGUGACCAGUGUCUACUAUGAUGUACUACACUAUCUCGAGGAAGCCAGCUACCUUCAUACUGCAGACCAAACACAUCUCUUCUGUUGCCACUACACAUUUCUACCACGGCUACAAGAUGAUCUGAGCAUUUUCCGAGAUGGUUGGGAUAAUCACCCUUUGAGAACAGAACACAACAUGUCUCCAAACCAGCUCUGGGAAUUGGGUCAAAUUCAUUAUCCAGUUGAUGAUCCCCAAGAUGAAGAGGAACUGAACAUUGCUGAUAUUGAUUGGGAAAGCAGUGGAUUGCCUCCUGGUGAAAGUGUUGGUGUUAAUGUUCCUAUUGUGGAAUGUCCACUUACAGCAGAGCAGCUUGCAGCACUAAAGGACACAGUGGAUCCAAGAUCACCAUCACAAUCCCAUGGGAUAGAUAUUUACAUGGCUGCAGUGCAGUUUUGCCAGUCACUUGAGUAAUGACACAUUGAGUAGACACAUGGAGUUCUGGAACUGAAUUGAAAUUUAUUUGAUAGAAAAACUGUAACAUUAAAUGUGUAUUUUUUUGUUCCAAGAACUGUUUCAUCAAGUACAAGCACUAUAAAUAGCUAAACUGCAUCAAAACCAGAGAAGGUAUGCUGUAAGCUAUUGCAUGGAAGUUUCCAAAGUCUCAAAAAUAAA